rnacentral:rRNA from 1 species
UACAGAGGGUGCAAGCGUUGUUCGGAAUUAUUGGGCGUAAAGGGCGCGUAGGCGGUGCGGUAAGUCUGUAGUGAAAUCUCUGGGCUCAACUCAGAGUCUGCUAUAGAAACUGCCGUGCUUGAGUGUGGGAGAGGUGAGUGGAAUUCCCGGUGUAGCGGUGAAAUGCGUAGAUAGUCGGAGGAACACCUGUGGCGAAAGCGGCUCACUGGACCACAACUGACGCUGAGGCGCGAAAGCUAGGGGAGCAAACAGG